rnacentral:rRNA from 1 species
UGCGUAGGUGGCGGGGUAAGUCUGGUGUGAAAGCUCCGAGCUCAACUCGGAAAAGCAUUGGAAACUAUCCCGCUGGAGGGUCGGAGGGGAGACUGGAAUUCUCGGUGUAGCAGUGAAAUGCGUAGAUAUCGAGAGGAACACCAGUGGCGAAGGCGAGUCUCUGGACGACUCCUGACACUGAGGCACGAAAGGCUGGGAGCAAACA